AUCUUUGCUGUGAUCCUCUUCUUGAUGGGGAUCUUCCUCAUUGUCGGUCGGAAAUGCCGCUGCAAAGGGAACAAGUCAAAGCCAGUGGGUAUUGACACAGAGGCAGCCAGAGGUGCAAAAUAAAGUAAGCUGAGGGAAAGAAAGCAUGGCUUCUUAAGGAGAAAUCUUAAUCAGAACUUUGACCAUUUGGAAGAAGAAAAAGUCACUUGAGGAUUUAGUUCUUCUAGUGUUCACAAUUUAAAAAUUUGUAUGUCUUUGUCUCUGGGUACAUGAGAGUAUGAGUGCUCCUUUUUAAAAUUUGAAGUUUUAAAAAUAUUGUUUAAAUAAAAGUGUUGAUUAUCAGCUAGAACUACUUUGCCGUAAUGUUUAACUCAGCAGCUGAUACCUUUGAGAUUUUCCUUCACUUUUUGUCAUGUACCUUUCAAGCUCUCUGAAGUUUAUGAAAUACAUGGUGUUGGCUAGUAUGUCUAAGUGCUCAGUAGCUAAAAGUAGUAAGUAGGCAUUUUAUAUAUUUUGUAAAUUGUCCAUAGAGUUUUGUCACGUCGCAGAAGUAACAAAACAAACUGUAUACUGUAGUUGAAAAAUAAAGUGAUUUCCAUGGAAUGUCUGUUAAGUGUCCUCGAGAAAACGUAACCGUUAUAUAACGUGUGCUUGGCAUCUGC
rnacentral:lncRNA from 1 species